rnacentral:sRNA from 2 species
CACGAACAUAGGGGUGCAUUUGAAUUUUCCACUUUUUCAACUGUUUUUCACAUAAUUUUAACCCUUUAAUCUAUUCAAAAUCAUCAAACACUCUCUACAGUCUUCUCAUACAUGUAUUUUGCACAAAUUGAGUGAUUAUAAAACUCUCAAUAUUCUUCUAUCUACUCAAGAUUUAAAAAGAUUUAUCAAGUUCUAGCUUUAUCUUGAUGAUAUUAAUGUAGAAACAAUUCAUAUAUACAGCAUAAUAGCAUGCAUGAUACAGGACCGGAAACCGUCCAUAUUAGAUACAUUAUCUCAAAUAAAAGGUUAUUGCAGCAG